rnacentral:rRNA from 1 species
GACAGAGGUGCCGAGCGUUAGGCGGAAUCACUGGGCUUAAAAGCGUGUGUAGGCGGGUGCCUAAGUACCUUGUGAAAUCCCACGGCUCAACCGUGGAACUGCUUGGUAUACUGGGGUGCCUUUGAGCUAUCUAGGGGGCAACUGGAACAAACGGUGGAGCGGUGAAAUGCGUAGAUAUCGUUUGGAACGCCAAUGGUGAAAACAGGUUGCUGGGGAUAUGCUGACGCUGAGACACGAAAGCCAGGGGGAGCAAACGGGG